rnacentral:misc_RNA from 1 species
GAGAAAGUUAAGAGAGAGAACGAGUGAAGCUGCAGAGAUAUUUGGAAAUCAAGAGUGUUAUAUUCACAAAUUUGUUGAGUUUCUUAAAAGUAAAGAAUUUCUGGAACAGAGACAAAAGUGAUAAUUUUCCAUGGUAUUCCUUUCUGUGUUUGCUUGGUAUCGUGUAAACAACAAUUCCAUCAGAUAACCAAUGUUCAGUCUAUCAGUUUCAGAAUGUAUUAAGCAGGCAAGUUUCAUUGUUGAUUUCCAAUAAAACUAUGAGGUGAUAGCUUGAUAGAAAUAAUCCUUUCUUCAACCUG